rnacentral:lncRNA from 1 species
CUCUCUGUCCAGCUUUUGCAUGCACUGCUUAACCCAGGACCUCGACGGUCUGUGCUCAGAGGAGAGGCAGCAAGGUUAGAGUCAUCCUCCACAGGAGGGAAUCCAGAGCGAGUGGGUAUGUGGGGUGGUGAGAGAUGCAAAGCAGGGAGGCAGGUUUGUAUUGGACUCUGACCCCUAUUUCCCUGCGCCGAACCAUUUGGGGUGAGCGUUGAGGCCCUUUGAUCUUGUCUGAACCAGGCACUGAGGUCUGAGAAGGGAAGGAAUUAAAACCCCCCAAACUGCCUCCAGGGUGGGACUGGGAUCAGAUCUCAAGAACCGGGCACUGGGUUUUUCAGCCAUGAGCUGCUCAGCCGAGUGCUGGCUGCCUCUCCUGGAGCGAGGCAUCCAGUGGAGGGUGGGCAGGCUGGAGUUAGCAGAGGGCUGUCAGCCUUUCCCUGCAGUCCUGUUCAGCUUGACAGCUCUGUGCCGUUUGUUCCCAGGAAUCUUUUCACCUUCAAAUUAAGUGGUGUAAGGGAGGGCUGGAGAGCAGGAGCAGCAGCACGUGGCAUCCCUGAGCCCUGCGCUCUUCUGUUGCUCUGCCUGCCUUGUCUCACCUGCCUUUCCAACUGCUGAGGCUCUUCCCCUUUCCUCCCCACUAACAAGGGUUGUGUGUCCAUGCAUGAGCAGAACAACAUGGGCUUUGGUGGACCUGCAGCAGGUGAGUUUGCUAAAGCAGGGGGGGACAGGGAGGUCCUCUGUCUUUGUCCCUCCAGAGGACUGGGGGUAAUGCAGUGCCCAAAAAGUGCUGCACAGAAAAGAUGAGGUGGUUUUGUGCCUGUGUGGUUGGUAUGAAGGACAACACACUCAAGUCCACUCUUGCUGUUGCUUUCUCUGAUCCCUGUGUCCUGCUGAGGUGCUUGGUGUGCCUCUGUGCUGGGUAAGCGCAGCCGCACCAGUGGUGGCCAGCGCCAGCAGCAAGCGGCCCCGUGCUCACGUGCCCCAGCUCCAGGCGCAGGCUGCCUCGCUUCCCAGUGUGGCAAAGGCUGGCCCCAGCUCCAGCGCAGGGUUUGGCCGUGGCAAUGGCAGGAGGACGGCACGCUCCCGGCGCGCUUUGCUCAACAGGGAGCAGAAACGGGAGUCUCGGUGACCACCGUGGGGGAAACGGGCCGGCGUGGAGGUGGCAGUAAAAGCUUUGGUUCCUGGCAGAGCCCGUCUGCAGACGCAGAGCAGCCUUGGAAGAGCCGUGCAAAAUUGUCCCAGCCGUAGAAAGGGCUCCAGGUCACUGCAGAGAGAGAGGCUGACAUAUGGGAUAUUACGCCCUGACGUUUGGGAGAGGAAGCUGGCUCGGCGCCCGGCUGCUUAACGCUUUGCCUUUGUAACAUCAGCACAGGACAAGUACGUCAGGGAAAGGGUGAAGGAUCAGCCCAUUUCAGCUAAUGUUUGGGAGGCUACUGUAAGCAACUCUGAGACCCCCAGACACAGGUCCUUACAUGAAACUAGGGGAAAUUUAACAUUACUGACAUUUCUAACAUUGCUGGGUGUGAUUUCUUUCUUUAUUUUAAUAAAGUGAAAAGAGAGA